UCGCGUUACAUCGGGGUAGAGGUGUAUUUAUUAUUUCUAGUAACGCAGUGCCUAGGAGCUCUGGUCCAGGAUCAGUACCCCAUUGUGCUAAGUGAUGUACAAACAGAACAAAAGACAGUCGCUGCCCCAAAGACAUUGCAGUCUAAGUAUCUGUUAUUAGAACUGAGAUUGCAUGUUUUGCACAGAGUGGGGGCAUGUGUGUGUCACCAGUGGUUGUGGAAGAGGUAACAGAGGAAGUGAAAUCAUAGUUGUGAAUUGCAAGAGAAGAGCUUAGGAUGAACCUAGUGUGUUGCUGAGAUAUUUAGGGCUAUGCUGGUGGUGUAUGUACCCAAGUAUUAACUGGUUUCAGUGAGGCUUUUUGUUUUAGUAGAUUUAAGUUGUAUAAUUGUAUAAGUGCGAGGCAGGAUGUUUUGAAGAAAAGGAAUGGUUUAGAACUAAGGCUUGAGAUGCCCUUAGUUUAAUUGCUCACAUCUCAGGACUUUGAUACACCACAAGUCAGAAAAUGAAGCAAAGAGACAAAGAGAAGGCUCAGUGGCAUUGUAACGUUGUUACCAUGAUAAAUAUAGAACUACUUAAAGAAGAAAUGUGUGAUAACUGCAAUGAGGGAAGGGGAGGUGUGGCAUUAAAGGGAAAUAAAUUACCUGUCCUCAAAUCCACAGAGAGCCCUAAUCAUGCUGUUAGCCCCCACAUUCAGCAAUACAUUCCUUUGCCUUCUGAUGUAUCAUCAUCCAUCUUUUGACAAACUCUUAAUGAAAUUAAAAUAUAUAGGCUCUAGACUGACUGCCCAGCUGCUGGCCUUUCACCAGGUGUAGUGUUCUCCCUCUCUGCUGUCACUCUGGCCUAGAGGUCCUCAGUUAGGUCCUCCCUGCACUGUGCUAGCAAUGGUUUUCCUUUCUUGGCCAGAAUGAACCAGGAUUUUGUUCUGAAAACCUUUGCUCACAAACAGUGAGGCUCUAGCAUUGCUGCAAGAAUUCCUAUCCAUGCCAACUGUGUAAAUUAUGCUAGACCCAACUGUGUUUAAACAUGUUUGUGGCUAUCACCCUACUGAAUGGCUUUUGAUAAGAUAUUGUUUGUACAAACCUGUAGGUGAGGAUUGUGAAAUGAAAGUGGUGCUAGAGACCUUGGAGGUUUAGAUCUGUUAGUGUGUGCCAGUGUUUACAUCAAAAGUUAAGAAGCUAUUAAAGUGUUCAUUGAUCUUGAAGGCAGCAAAUUGCUAAUCAGAUGUAUCUGACAAGUCAUUCCUUUCAGCACUAAUCUGACUUGUUCCUUCUGUCUCCUUUAAUAUGGAAAUUCUCUGUUCUUACUGUACUUUUUCCCCAGCUUAGAAUAGCUAACUGCCUGAAUAUUGUACUUUAAUUCCUUAUUCCAUAUUAUUUCUGACUGAAAACCACUAAACAUAUACACCUCUAUCUCGAUAUAACUUGAACUGAUAUAACGUGGUAAAGCAGUGCUCUGGGAGGGCGGGGCUGCGCACUCCAGUGGAUCAAAGCAAGUUCAAUAUAACGCGGUUUUCAACAUUUUCACAGUUGUUUGUUUCUCUCAGGCUCCAACAUCUAUGUUUAGGUACCUGAAUAAAAGUGGCCAGAUUUUAUUCAACAUGACUAACACCUGCUGCUCCCAGUAACUUUGUUAGGGUUUGUGGAUGCUCAGGACUUCUGUUAAUCAGCCUUAAUUUAAGUGCCUAAAUAUCAAUUAAGAAGCCUAACUUUAGGCUUUGAAAUGUUGACCUGUUUCCUUAGAGAUAAUUUUAGAGUUUAAUUUGCAAGUUUGACAGAUUAAUAAAAUCAGGCUUAUCAAUUAGAAAAGGGCCAGGAACUUCUCUUUUAUGGGCUGACCCAUUUGUUUAUUUCCCCUCUCCCCUCCCACCCCAACAGAAGUGAGGUGUCUGUCAGUUGGCCAGCUUGAAGCUCUUUGUUUUAAAACAAUGUACAUUUACUUACCAAAUUUUCAGAUUAAAACAUCAGACUAUACAACAGUGAGAGACAUUUGAAAAAAAAAAAGUUUAAUUUGCCUGGGCAAAGGUUUUCAUCUGAAAAACUUAAAGUUUAACAAAGUGAACUAAUGAACCACGCUAAAGAGCUGUAAGACCUCUAUUACACUGGCACGUAUUCUCUCUUUCUGGCCUCUGCCCUCUCAGUUGAUAUUUAAUAACAAUUCCAGGGAUAGACUAAAGUGAGAAUUUAGACCCCUUUGUGUGCAUUUGGGGGGGGGCAUGCAAAGGAAGGAGAUGGCCAUAAAUUAGCUGCUUCUUGGCUUCCAUUCCAGAACUAUUAUUUGUGAUGGUUGGUGUUACGGCUGUCUGCUCCAGAGUUGCUCCUCUUUUGGGGCCUGCUUCAAAGGUCAUUCUAGACAAUUAGCACUAUUUCUAUUUAGCUGUGUCCUUUGAGUGAGGCAUUUUGUCAUCUUUUCUUCCUUGAAGAGUCCAGAAGGAGAGGGUACGGAAGGCAUCUACAUACAACCACUAGCUGAACUGGUCAACCAAGACGGAGUCAAGUGCCACACAGAGCUCUACCUGUCCUUCAUUACCUACAGACCACACCACUCCCACCCAGAUGGCCCAGUGUUUGGAUGAGAUCAGAUCAUGGAUGAAAUACAGCUGGCUAAAUCUGAGGAAACCCAAGGUGAUGUUGGUGGGCAGAGGAAAGUAUUUUGAGCUGUUUGCAGCCAUGGUGCAGUCUCCUUUGCUUGAAGGUUCAUGUCCACCAUUAGCUAAUUCAAUCCAUACUCUUGGAUUCCUCCCUCUAGGAGUACUUCUGGAUUCCUCACUGAUGCUGAGCUCUCACAUUGCAAUGGCCACAAGUAAUGCUUUCUGCCAUCUCCGGUUGACUAGAAGACUUCAUCCCAUCCUGUUGGACGAAGACCUGUCCCCAGUUAUUCAUGCCUUCAUCAUCUCUCAGCUGGAUUGUUGCAAUGCCAUAUACUUGAGCAAGAAAUUUUCUGCAUUCAGGUAUCUCUACCUAGCAUAAAAUGCUGCAGCAGCACAUCUCCUGAGCAACACAGGCUGCUGUGACCACAUCACAUCUAUCCUCUGCUGUCUACACUGGCCUCCCAUACAAUUUUGAACUAAGUUGAAGAUAACGACUAUCUUGAAAGCACUCUGGGACCUGGGUCCAGGAUACCCAAAAGACCAUCUAAAGCGCCAGGACAAAGACUGUGGUUAACAACUAAGCUCCUUUGGCAUGAAGGAACUCUCAAUGAUAGGAGUGAAGUUCAUCAGUGCAGGAGACAGAACCUUCUCCAGGUGUGGUCCGAGACUGUGGAAUGAACUCCCCCAGGAACGAUAGACCAUCACAAACCUCAUCACUUGCCACCCCAAGUGCAAGGCAUAUUUCUUUCAUUUGCCUUUUCUAACAGAAGUACACAACAAUAUAUUUAAUAAUAAUACAUAAUAAACUACCAAAACAAGUCCACACAGAUUUUUGUACCAGUUUAACUAAAUCAGUUUAAAAAUCACAUCUGGCAUUAACAUGGUGCAACUUUUCUGUUUAGACAAGCACAUCUUGCUUGGGGCCAUUUUGGCAACCCAGAAUUGCUGAAGCAUAGACAUGCUCCAGCCACACUCUACAUUAAGUGCUGUGAAGGUUGGUGGAACAGAGUUUCUCCAUGACCUGGGGAUGCCCUUGAUGCAGGAUAACUCCCAGCUGGCCAGAUCCAUCUGUUUUUAAAGCCCCUUUGUGCUGUUGGAGUAGCAAAAAGGGGCCCUGUCAGAACAGAGACUGUGUUCAGGCCUGCUAAGCUUGGGUUCCAUUUUUUCAGGUGAUGUAGAAGAUGAUUUAUUGGCAGACAAUAUCUGUAUUCAAAUAUAGUAUUUAAACAUAGAAAUAUUAGCCUCAGUAGAGCAAAGCAUACCAAAUAAAUGCUUUCAAUUUUGCUCAUCUCACUACUAAACAGAUACAUUUCCAUUAUCCCAGCAGUCGGUUCCCCCUUUCCCUUCCAAAAACAAACAAUCUUUCUAUACAUCAGGUUUUGAUUGAUGGAGAUGGGCCUUAGAGGCUUAACAUUGGAUUUAACAUGUGUACCUUCCCAAAAAACGUAAAGCUGAAUAAUUCUGAAAUUUGCUCCCUCUUGGGACAAAUGUUUAGUGAGCAAUAUGCUUUCCAUAUAGCCUAGAAGGCUUGGAAGCAGUGAUGGGUCUUUGUUUUACAGUAACUUCUAGAUCAUGGUGCUAAACUUGACCUUUCAGCCUCUGGAUGCAGAAGUACCUUAAUGUCUGACCUCAGAAAUACCAAUAAUCUACAUUUUAGCCUCCUUCCUACACCCCGUCCCCCAUUGAUAAAAUUUGUCUUUACUAAUUUUAUAUUAUACCUUUUUGCUGAAGAAUUGUAAAACUUCCUUGAAAAAUGUUUUUCCCCACACAACUGAAGUAUGUGCAGUUGACCAUAGGAUGAGUUGUGGGAUUUUUUUUAUGUUGUGUUUUUUUAGACUUAGGCUGAAAUAAAAUGUAAGCUUAACUACAUUCCUAUGGUGAAAUCACAUUAAUUCUAUUGCUUUUAAAAGGAUAGAUUUGAAAACUUGCUUUAAAAUUCUGAUUCAGAUUCACAAACACUGAUCAAAUUACUUUUAAAGAUUUUACCAGCAAUAUCAGACAAGGGUCAAACAUUUUAUUUUAUAUGGCAUGUAUAUGUUAAACUGGACCUUUAACUCAAACAGUUCUUGGUUAAAAUUUUAUAUCCAUCAUUAAAAAGAAGUUAACUAUA